UCAUGGUACCAAGCAAUAUAUUUAUUCUCGCCUUUAAAUUCUUUUCAGAACAAUUUUUCUACCAAAUUCCAUCAAGAGUUAUUUCUGAGCUCAGACAGAGAGGAACAUUCAGCUCUCCAAAGUGACCACAGAGAGGUUUGUCCUGUCCUUUAAUCUCCAAACACAAUGGUAAAGUGAUUGCCAGUGAUUUUAUUCUAUUCUGUGCCCAGGACAAUGGGACUGUUCAGCUGUCUGAAAGAGCUAAUACAUACUUUAUGAUGAGAAAGGAACAACCAAAGCUACCAAGGAAAGGAACUACAUCAUAGCUCACUAUAAUUGAAGUGAAGCCUUCUUACUGCAACAAGCUUCAAAAAGAAAAGAGUGCAUUUGCAGAAAAAGAUGUGAACUUGGAGAAAAUUAAACCACUGUUUGCAGAGAGCACUAAAGACUGAGGCACAAACCUGCAGUGCACCUGCAUCCACUGUCCUUCCAAGAGAUACCUGCUGCAAAUCACUUCUGCUCUGGGAGGAGCUCACACAGUUUGCUGAGGGUAUUGAAGAUCACGCUCCGCUGCACACAGAGGCUUCAAGACUUCAGUGAGGUGAGUAUGGCCACGUGGUGGUAUGGCCUGCACAGUCCUCAAAC